AACGAAAACCGUUUCAGCGAUAGCACACACUAACAAACAAAUGCAUAUGUGUCUGUGUGUGUGCAUUCACCUUAGCGAUAUAGUCGCCUAUUUGGGGCUGCUUGAAGUGCUUAAGCAGAUAACUGUGUUUGCUUUGCUAUUGUGGCUAUAAGUGGGUAUGUGUGUGCUGCGUUUGGGGCUGCUUUAAGCUGUUACCGCUAUAUACUAAGUCUACAAGAAGCCAACAAUGUUAAUUUGCGCUUGUGAUUGUGCUCAAUAUUUGGUUGCGUUACCGUUAAGCGGUUUUUAACUAUUGAAAUUUACGCAAAACUGACGUUUUCAUAUAUACAUACACACAUAUCAUAUUUGACCAUAACAUAACAUAGUUUAAACGUCGACAUGACAACCCAGACAACCCACUGUGGGGGUGCAUGCGCACAGAUAUACACACAAAUAUCAAAAACAUUGACUCAUAUUUUAAUAUACAUAUAUUUAUUUUUGUUAUUGUAUACCCCUUGUACCUGCAUCGCCCACAAUAAGCUCUGAGCUCUUGAAUAAUUGCUACAACCAGCGCCGACAAAGCAUUUCCAAGCGCCCCAAACUGAUCAUAUUUCAAAGGCGCUCGAUUUGAUUUUGAACUUUUAAUAGACACGCGAGUGAAGGAAACAAUGCAGUAGUUCAAAAUCAAUUAAAUGCCGCUCGCCAAACAAGCAACGGAAAUUAAUUAGUAUGUGUGGAUGUGAUUGGGUGUAUUUGGAAUUAGAACAAUACCUUUGGGUCUUUGCAUAAAGGAAUUAGAAGCACAAGCAUUAUAUAAUCUGGUGAUCUGUUGGUACUUUCUUUUCCAUCUAGAAAACUAAAAAUCUUGAAACCUCUAACGUAACCUGUACUAUUUGUUUACCCAAAUUAAUCAUCCUAUGCGUGUACUUCUUGAUAUUUUUCUAUAGCUGAAUCUACAAGUAAGAAAGUAGAGCAACUCCGAACGACUCUCUUCUCAGUUGGGGAUACGUAACAAGAACAGAUCCCCCAAACCUAUCAACUCGAUAUUACACAAGAUUAUAUGUCCACUACAAUAACAAUUACUCCAAACAAUGUUCUGCGGCUAAGACUGUUGUGGAAAACUUUUACUGCUGGUUGGUCGAACCCCUCUAAUUCCCAACAUCACCCGUAACAUAGUCUAAAUAUGAAUACGAGAGCUAUUAUAAUACGCUCACAAAAAAUGUAAUUUGUAGACCCAAUAAAGAUUACAGAGGUAAUGCAUUGUUCUAUGUCAAAAACAAAAAAGUCAACAGAAUAAAUUGGAGCAGAUCACAAUGUUUACUCUUUAUUUGUCACAAAAUGGAAUGGCUUGCAAUUAACAUUUUUGCGAAUAAUUUUAAUAAUCUUUACUAUUUCAUAUAUGUAUCAUCAUCAUGAAAUAUUCUUCAAAAAGUCUAGUGUAGAGUACAAAUGUAAAUAAAAGAGACUGAUUUAAAAUUACUGAUUACACACGACGGUUAUAAAGAUAAAGUACUAAAGCACUUGGCAUAUGAGCUCAUAAUGAUAAGCGACAGAGAACGUUGUAAAACAAAACAGGAAAAAAGCUGAUAUUAUAAUGAAUAUUAGGUGACAAAAAUGAUGAGUGCUUUUAACGCCUGUUUUAAUCUAGAUGCUAUAAAUGUACAAAUAUGGUUUACAUAUCUACUUGCAUAUACUUUAAACAUAAAUAUACAUUCAUAUUGAAUUAGUGAGUAUACAUUUGAAUAGCUUUCUGCUUCAUGUAACUAAUAUAAUUAAGUAAUAAAUGUCACUGCGAGCAUAUUUAUUGUAAAAAUAUUUCUUGCUAUGUGAAUAAGCAUUUAAAUUUUUCCCUUUUUUAUUUCAGAAACAAAUUUAUUAAAAUUA